rnacentral:piRNA from 1 species
UGGGAACAAGAUUCUUUAGACAGAAGUU